CGAAAAGCUUUUCUUCCAAUUCCCCUACCCAGAGGGUGAGAAACAGGUAAUGUGAAUGAUUUUUGAAACUGAACUCAUUUUAAUGGUCUUGCAUGAAAAUUUCUCAAAUAUGGUUGUUUUAAUACCAACAGCAACAGAAAUCAUAUAAAAUUUUUUGCUUCGGGUGCUAGCCUGUAACUUCAUGUAUACUUAACCCUUGUUGGAUUUGUUCACUAUUGUGGCCCCUAAACUUGGCACACAGACUGUACUUAAUAAAUGCUUGCUGGAUGAAGGAUGGAUGGAAGAAAGCAAGGCAAAAGGGAAGGAAACACUUGGGAAAACAGUUCGUCAGUCUGACCUGCAUAGUUCCAGACAUUGCUGGAAGCAGACAAGAUGUUACCCACAUUGGUUCUGGGACACAUGACCCAUUUACUCCAAGGAGAAAUUAUCCAUGUGGCAGGUUGGCUUAGCACCUAGACCACCAAACAAACAUUCCACCAUUCUGUUUGAGGAGCAAGCUUUUACACUAACUGUCCUCAGCACCAUUCUGAAAUGUCUUUGUCUUACUGUGCAAAGCUGGCCUAAGGAUUUUAAUACUGAAGUUCACAGUUAAGUGGAUGCUUACUGAAGAAACCAUUUGGAGUCUCGUAUAAUUUCCCAUGGUCUGGAUAUUGCCAACCCUUCAUGAUAGAGUUUAUCAUGUACUUCUCAU